rnacentral:tRNA from 1 species
GGAUGAGGCUUGGGAAAUAG